GGGAGUUCCCAUCUUUGGGCUUCAGCUUUUUCUGAAGGCGCAGGUUGGGUGGUGCAGAGGUGACGGAGGUGGAAGAGGGGCUGAGUAGCAGAGGGAGCCAAGCAGUGAGAUGCAGUAGGAUCGCUGGACAGUCUUGAGGGCUGGUUUGUAGCUGGUGCUACCUAGUCUGCCUUUCUAACAAGCCAGUCUUAUUUGUUUAAUUACCCUGUGGCCUGUGGUCUAGCAGGAGGUAAUGUGCUGAAUGCUUUUUCUUUAGAUAAAUGUUAAUUUUCUAGGGAAGUCCUAAAUUCACACCCUUUUUCCUCCGUGAGUUCCAGGGUUGGUUUGAGCCACCUGGAAGCAAGCUCGGAGGGAUGGGGCAGUUUUGUUGCGGCUGAGACUUUUUUUCGGUCUGAGAAGCCCUCCUCUCCCUUCCUGGCAGGGAAAUGCAGGAAGGAAGCAUCAAGAAACUAUUGAGAUUGGCUGGUCAGUCAGCUUUAAGGUGUGGCUUUUUACAGUUUUUUCCAAACAAGUUCUUAGGGCCCCCAGACACCCAUAGUAUAAAAUGUGAACACACGUCCUUUCUGUGGGCAGAUAUGUUACUUUGGAUGCUCCAUAUCUUUAGUGCAGUCUAUUCCCAGUGGAUUUGAUGGUAAUAUUGACAUCAGCUGUGGUGUUUGUCAAAAGCCCUGUGUUGUCACCUCUCUCAUUCCCCCUCGCUGACCGUAAAGGCGAGGUUGGGAGCAUGGGGUGUUGUUGCUUUCUAGUCCCAGGACCCGCCCCCCACCAUGGAGUUGGCCGUGGCUGUCCUGAAGGACCUACUCCGCUAUGCGGCCCAGCUUCCUACACUCUUCCGGGACAUCUCCAUGAACCACCUCCCUGGCCUUCUCACCUCCCUGCUGGGCCUCAGACCGGAGCCUCUUCCUUACUUUGUUUUUCCCACAGUGUGAACUCUCUGCACUGGAAGGAAUGAAGGCUUGUAUGACGUAUUUUCCCCGGGCGUGUGGAUCUCUCAAAGUAAGUAUUCAUGGAAGCUCCUCUCCCGCCCAGCAUAAACCUUGGUAGCUGUCUCACCUCAGAUUCCGAUGCUGAGGUUUUAGGUACCUGUCUUCUGAUUAUUGUCACCUAUCUCCACAGCUGUAAUUAUGCCACCUCGUGGCCUUAAAUGCAUUCUCACUUAAUUGUCAUAGAUACAUUGAAAUUAAGUAACUUGCUUAAGGUCUGAUGCCAAAGCCAGGCUCUUACCCCUGGAUGCCUUCCUUUUUCUGCCCUGCCUUCUCUGUACCUCUAGAAUGCCUGCCCAUUUUUUAUUUUGUUUUAUUUUGUUCCUAAAGCUCUUGUAAUUUCCUCCGGGAAGGCUUCCUGAUUUACUUCUUCCCUAGAUCAACUUCUCCAGCACUUUCUGCGCCUUAUAUUCCUAAUUUCCCUCCAUGACUUCCCUACCCUGUCCCCCGAAUUGUCAUGAUCAAUACAGAGGUGGCUGUGCAGCAGGGCCUUAGCAGGUCAGAGAGGCAGGGUGGAGAUGGGUCAGGUGUGGGAGGAGGGAGGUCAGUGAGAAAAUCUGAGUUUUGUUUUCAAGGAGAUUCACAAAAAAAUGAACUUUUAACAAAUUCUGCCAAAACAGGGCCUUUGAAAUUGCACAUUUGUUUGCAGAAUAAUUUGAUGCCAACUAGUACCUAAGAACAAACAGGUGUUCUGUCGAUUAAAUGCUCUCUCUUGUUAUGAUACAUUCAUUGUUGCUUGAAAAACCAAUGGGCAUCCUCUUACUCAGAUGGAUGCACAAAUCUGUGGAGAAUUGUAAUUAGUGGCAAAUUAGCAUUUUUUUUUUUUUUUUUUUUUUUUUGUAUAACUGAUGUGGUUAAUCAUAGUAAUUAUUACCAACUAAUGAGUUUGCCAUUCAGGUUGCCUUGAAAGUAAGAUCACAUGGUUCUGUGACCAAGUCAGAAAAAGUAAAAGUGGAAAGGGAACUGGUCCUAAGUCGGUACCUGCUGUGUGUGAGGCACUCUGCCGAGGAUCUAAGACGGGUUGUCUUAUUUUGUCGUCACAGUAGUUCUGUGGAAUCGGUGUCACCAAAGUAAAUAAGGAGAGACAGGUCUAGGAGGUUUUUUUGCUUGUUUGUCUUUUAAACAUAUACAUUCUUUUUUAUAUUCUUUUCCAUCAUGAUCUAUCCUAGGAGAUUGGCUGUAGUUCCCUGUGCUAUACAGUAGGACCCUGUUGUUUAUUCUUUAUAAACGUAAUUGCCUCUACUAACCCCAAACUCCCAGUCUACUCCCUCCCUCUCGCUUGGCAACCACAAGUCUGUUGUUUAUGUCUGUGAGUCUGUUUCUGUUUUGUAGAUAGGUUCAUUUGGGUCCUAUUUUAGAUUCCCAUAUGGUAUUUAUCUUUCUCUUUCUGACUUACUUCACUUAGUAUGAUAAUCUCCAGUUGCAUCCAUGUUGCUGCAAAUGGCAUUGAUUUGUUCUUUUUUUAUGGCUGAAUAGUAUUCCAUUGUAUAGGUGUACCACAUCUUCUUAAUCCAUUCAUCUGCAGAUGGACAUUUAGGUUGUUUCUGUGUCUUGGCUAUUGUGAAUAAUGCUGCUAUGAACAUUGGGGUUCACGUAUCUUUUUGAAUUAUAGUUUUAUCCAGAUAUAUGCCCAGGAGUGGGAUGGCUGGAUCAUAUGGUAGUUCUAUAUUUAGUUUUCUGAGGAACCUCCAUACUGUUUUACAUAGCGGUUGUACCAGUUUACAUUCCCACCAACAGUGUAGGAGGGUUCCCUUUUCUCCACACCCUCUGUAGCAUGUUAUUUGUAUAUUGAUUUAUUAAUGAUGGCCAUUCUGACUGGUGUGAGAUGAUAUCUCAUUGUAGUUUUGAUUUGCAUUUCUCUGAUAAUUAGUGGUGAUGGGUAUUUUUCAUGUUCCUACUGGCCUGUCCGGAUGUCUUUGGAGAAAUGUCUGUUUAGGUCUUGAGCCCAUUUGUCAAUUGGGUUGUUUUUUUGUUGAGUUAUAUGUAUUUUGGAGAUUAAACCCUUGUCCGUUGCAUCAUUUGCAACUAUUUUCUCCCAUUCCAUAGGUUGUCUUUUUGUUUUGUUUAUAAUUUCCUUUGUUGUGCAAAAGCUUGUAAGUUUGAUUAGGUCCCAUUGGUUUAUUUUUGCUUUUAUUUCUGUUGCCUUGGGAGACUGACCUAAGAAAAGCUUGUAUGGUUUAUGUCAGAGAAUGCUUUGCCUGUGUUCUCUUAUAGGAGUUUGAUGGUGCCAUGUCUUCUGUUUAAGUCUUUAAGCCAUUUUGAGUUUAUUUUUGUGCAUGCUGUGAAGGGUGUGGUCUAAUUUCAUUGAUUUACAUGCAGCUGUCCAGUUUUCCCAGCACCACUUGCUGAAAAGACUGUGUUUUUUUCCCAUUUUAUAUUCUUACCUCCUUUGUUAAAGAUUAACUGACCAUAGGGGUCUGGGUUUAUUUCUGGGUUCUCUAUUCUGUUCCAUUGGUCUGUAUGUCUGUUUUUGUACCAGUACCACACUGUCUUGAUUACUGUAGCUUUGUAAUGUUGCCUGAAGUCUGGGAGAGUCAUGCCUCCUGCUUAGUUUUUGGUCCUCAGGAUGGCUUUGGCAAUUCUGGGUCCUUUAUGGUUCCAAAUAAAUUUUUGGAUUGUUUAUUCUAGUUCUGAGAA
rnacentral:lncRNA from 1 species